rnacentral:rRNA from 1 species
GGUGUUGAUAGCAAAGAGGUUCCACCCGUUCCCAUUCCGAACACGGAAGUUAAGCUCUUUAGCGCCUACAAUACUUGGUUGGUGACGACCUGGGAAGAUUGGACGAUGCC